GACGUAGGGGGCCAGCGUUGUUCGGAAUUAUUGGGCGUAAAGGGCGCGUAGGCGGCUUGAUAAGCGUGCGGUGAAAGCCCGGGGCUCAACCCCGGGUCGGCCGUGCGAACUGUCGAGCUGGAGCACUGUAGAGGCAGGUGGAAUUCCGGGUGUAGCGGUGGAAUGCGUAGAGAUCCGGAAGAACACCGGUGGCGAAGGCGGCCUGCUGGGCAGUGGCUGACGCUGAGGCGCGACAGCGUGGGGAGCAAACAGG
rnacentral:rRNA from 1 species